rnacentral:rRNA from 1 species
CCUCCUUUCUUCCUCAGUAUUUCAUCUUUCUCAAUGUUUGAAACCCUGAAGCAGCAACGCCGCGUGGAGGAUGAAGGUUUUCGGAUUGUAAACUCCUUUUGUUAGAGAAGAUAAUGACGGUAUCUAACGAAUAAGCACCGGCUAACUCCGUGCCAGCAGCCGCGGUAAUACGGAGGGUGCAAGCGUUACUCGGAAUCACUGGGCGUAAAGAGCGCGUAGGCGGGAUAGCAAGUCAGAUGUGAAAUCCUAUGGCUUAACCAUAGAACUGCAUUUGAAACUGUUAUUCUAGAGUAUGGGAGAGGUAGGUGGAAUUCUUGGUGUAGGGGUAAAAUCCGUAGAGAUCAAGAGGAAUACUCAUUGCGAAGGCGACCUGCUAGAACAUAACUGACGCUGAUGCGCGAAAGCGUGGGGAGCAAACAGGAUUAGAUACCCCAGUAGUC